rnacentral:sRNA from 1 species
GCUAGGCAUGGUGGCGUGCCUGUAAUCCCAGUUACAUGGGAGGCUGAGACAUGAGAAUCACUUGCACGCAGGAGACAGAGGUUGCAGUGAGCUGAGAACACGCCACUGCAUUCUAGCCUGGGUGACAGAGUGAGAUCCUGUCUCAA